rnacentral:SRP_RNA from 1 species
AUUGGGUGGCUUGUAACUGUUUUGCAGAUCAAACUUGUCAGGUUCGAAAGAAAGCAGCAAAGGUUUGUAGGUAGUGUAUGGGUCACCUUUUGUU